rnacentral:sRNA from 1 species
CGCAGCCGCGGUAAUUCCAGCUCCAAUAGCGUAUAUUAAAGUUGUUGCAGUUAAAAAGCUCGUAGUUGAAUUUCGGGGUCAGUAGGUCGGUCGUGCCACAGGUAUGCACUGGUCUCACUGAUUCCUCCUUCCUGAUGAACCGUAAUGCCAUUAAUUUGGUGUUGCGGGGAGACUGGACUGUUACUUUGAAAAAUUAGAGUGUUUAAAGCAGGCUAACGCUUGAAUACAUUAGCAUGGAAUAACGGAAUAGGACGUUCGAUCUUAUUUUGUUGGUUUCUAAGAUUGACGUAAUGAUUAAUAGGGAUAGUUGGGGGCAUUAGUAU